GCUUUGUUAGUUCAACGGCAGAACGCAUCCUUGGUAAGGAUGAGGUAAAGGUUCAAUUCCUUUACGAAGCUCCA
rnacentral:tRNA from 1 species